AAACGUAGGAGGCGAGCGUUAUCCGGAUUUACUGGGCGUAAAGCGCGUGCAGGCGGCUCGAAAAGUUGGAUGUGAAAGCUCCUGGCUUAACUGGGAGAGGUCGUUCAAUACUUUCGGGCUUGAGGAUGGGAGAGGGAGGUGGAAUUCCGGGUGUAGUGGUGAAAUGCGUAGAUAUCCGGAGGAACACCAGUGGCGAAGGCGGCCUCCUGGCCCAUUUCUGACGCUCAGACGCGAAAGCUAGGGUAGCAAACGGGAUUAGAGACCCCGGUAGUCCUAGCUGUAAACGAUGUAGACUUGGCGUUGGUGGGUUCAAAUCCAUCAGUGCCGGAGCUAACGCGUUAAGUCUACCGCCUGGGGACUACGGCCGCAAGGUUAAA
rnacentral:rRNA from 1 species